GGGCUGUUAGCUCAGCGGUAGAGCGCACCCCUGAUAAGGGCGAGGUGCCUGGUUCAACUCCAGGGCGGCCUA
rfam:Eimeria praecox, Houghton, WGS project CBTT01000000 data, contig: Eph_scaff3664_1